UUUAAAACUAACCCUAACAAAAAAAAAUUCAAGCCAGGUUGUCUUCUUCCUGGCACUCUGGCUUGCAGAUAGCGGCGCUUCUUUGUGCCUUCCAAGCCUCGCCUCGCACGCCUUGCCACGCCUCAUCACACCUCGCCACGCUAAGUGGGCAACAAGCUAAACAACCGUACGCCUAAGGCGAUUUCCCUCCGCCUCGCUCCAACGCGCGCUCCGAUGCACACUUACUCAUGCCUUUGAAAACAAUGCCCAAAAUCUGCAACUUUAAUCUGUGCGUACUUGAUUUUGGAAUAUAAUUUAGAAGACAACCCAAAUUUCUACCUUAGCCGAAUUGAGCACACUCUGCGACUGCCUCCUCAUCUGCUUAGCCGUCGUCUAGAAGAUGCAGUUAGGGGAGACCUUGAGAAGCUUUUCUUAGAUAAGGUUAUCGCCAACUUGGGACUUUGCAUUUCCGUCCAUAGUAUCCAAUCCAUUAAGGAUGGAUUUAUCUUACCUAAUGAUGGUCAUCCAACUUUCAGGGUAUAUAUUUGUUUACCAUACUCCUCUCAAUUUUAUGACUAAAGUGCUUUUGGUAAAUUCUGUUUUGUUCAAAUUUAGGUUGUUUUAGUUCGUAUAAGUGGAGUCAGCUUGCUUGCUUCAAUCCGUUUUAUUAUUCUUAUUCAUAUUCUUUCCAAUUUUCAAUUGUAAGAUACCUCGAUUUAUUUCUGGUUAAACUGCUCGGUGUAUGAGAACUGCUAAUCUAAAUACUUAGUAUCGUUGAUACAGAUUAUUAAGCCUUUAGCUUAAUAUGUAAUAGACAAUGAUCUUCUUCUCUAUAUCCAUUUUUUUUUGUUGAUUGGU